UGCUGCACACAUUGCUUGACGAGAGUAUUUUUUUGUUGUUGUUGUUUUUCAGCAUGUUGGAUUUUGCACAUGUCCAUGUGAGCUCUGGAUGUCAGUGGAAAACCAGGAGUCAACAGGAUAAUCCCGGUUAAUACUUUCACCCACUGUGAGGAUAUUACAGACUGUAAGGAGAUAAACCUCAAUAUAAUGUGGAAAACGGCUCCUUUUAAAGAAGAGCUCCAACAGAUCUGGAUGCAACAGCUUCUGUCACGGUGAUUUGUCUGGUCUGUGGUCCACUUGUUUCACUCACUCUACUGUGGACUAACACAGAAGCAUUACUUUCCACAAGCUUGAUCGUAUGAUGGAGGCAACACGCAAAGGUUUUGACCUUAAGGUGAAGCUGAACAGUGUGUUUGGUCAGCAAACACCACAGUUGUACUGAUGAAAAGCACAUAUGCAAAUAAUACUGCAGUAAUAGUAGGGUCA